CAGCCGCCGCGGUAAUACGAAGGGUGCAAGCGUUACUCGGAAUUACUGGGCGUAAAGCGUGCGUAGGUGGUUCGUUAAGUCUGAUGUGAAAGCCCUGGGCUCAACCUGGGAAUUGCAUUGGAUACUGGCGAGCUAGAGUGCGGUAGAGGGUAGUGGAAUUCCCGGUCUAGCAGUGAGAUGCGUAGAGAUCGGGAGGAACAUCUGUGGCGAAGGCGACUGCCUGGACCAGCACUGACACUGAGGCACGAAAGCGUGGGGAGCAAACAGGAUUAGAUACCCCGGUAGUCCCUGUCUCUUAUAC
rnacentral:rRNA from 1 species